CCCUGUGGCACGGUGCUUUUGCCUCACUGGUCUCUGCCUAGAGCUCUAAAAGUCAUAAUCUUAACUCAGUUGUUGGUGCUGUAUGUGUGGUCUGGCAUCCAGAAAUUGGGUCAAAAGCUGCACAGAUACUUAGAAAAUGACAGAGGGGACCUUGGAGACCUGCCAGACUGCUGUCCUCACUAGGCAAUGUUCUUGUGUGGGAUAGAGACCUUUCAGGUGAGGAGAAGCAAGAUAGCAAAAAGGCUAUAUAUGUGUGCCCCCCAUAAACAGAAGCAGAACCCUGGGGUUUGAAGAAAAUCUAGAAGGAUCUCAUAUCACCAACUUUAAAAAAACUAUAUAUGUGUAUAUAUACACAUAUACACAAAUGUAUGUGUGUUUAUGUAAUUUGUGUGUGUCCAUGCUAUAGUGUAUAUGGAAGUCAGAGGAGUGGGUUCUAGGUUCUACCACAUGGGUCCCAGUGAUUAAACUCAGUGCAGGUGCCUUUACCUGCCGAGCCACCUCAGCACCCCCUCACUAACUUCUGACACUGAGGAGUGCCAAGCCCCUUCUUCCAGACCGUGGCUAUGGACAGAGCAUCCUGGGCAAGUGGUAAGCUGCUCCUUGAGCUCUCCAGACCUGCCACCAGCCACAGCAGAGAAAGAACAUGCUCUGGGGUAUGCAUUCUUUUUAGCUUGACAUUUUACUUUCGGUGGUGACGCAAAGCCAUGGUUUCCUGGAACCGUUGCUACUGUGACCAUUCUCUAGCUUUGGAGCAAUUAGGUGUCUUGGCACUGCUUCCCAGCAUUCCACCUCCCAGCGUCCAAGUGCUUUCUGCCCAGGAAUAAAAAGAGUGCACACACCCCUUAGAGGGAACGAAGAGCUAGCACUGCACACUGUCACCAGUCACUGCUGGAAGGGAGAGGAGCCUCCACGAGGCCUUGACCCACAGGGAGAACACAGUAUAAACGCAGCACGCACCCUGCACUCUGGUUGGAAGCUAAACAGAAACCUGCCAGCAUUGGCAGGACAUGUGCGGGACUAGGAAAUGGAGAACAAUUUGAAGAAGCAGCCCCCUGUGUCAGAGGUGAAGGCAAUGCAGGACUCGGGUGGAGUGGUCAAGCACAGAACAGGUACAGGUGUGGUUUCUGGGCUCAUACUUUGCUUUUGGGUGCUGUGUUCAAACGAGGAAGGGGAGGGUGGUGAAGGUGGCAUCAAAGUAACAGAGCUGGCACGUACUGCCACCUCACCUCUAUUCUCCUGUUAGAGGGGAGAAUAAUUGCGCCCUGAGAAACAAUGAAAGAUCUGGGCACAGACAGUAAGGAUGCUGUUCAAGUUUAUCUGUGAUAGAAUAUCAUUUUCCAAAUGUGUUCUUCGAAAUUAUAAAAAUAGUAUUUUCCCCUCAGUAUAUUUAACUAUCCCCUCCCAUCAAAAUUAACAAAGUUUUUUGCUAAUUUUCCUUUAUGGGUAACUGUGCCUGUGUUUGCAGGUAGAAGGCAAGGCCACACCCUUUCCCCAAACCUGAGGCCACAUCCCCAGGUCACAGGGACCCUCUCCGAGACAGCCUCCAGCACCUGGGCCAGGUGAGUAGGCCAUAUAGUCUGGGUGUCCUCUAGCCCUAGCCACUGCUGAGCUCCCAAGAAUCUAUAGGAGCUGCCUCUGGAGGGAGAGAAACUUCAUACAACAUUUGACACAGCCUGGGUGGGAGCCAUGCCUUCUGACUUCUGGUUCUGUUUGCAUUUAUUUACUUGGGAAAUGGAAUGUGUGCAGAUGAGGCUUAGAAAGAGAGGGACCAGCAUGGCGCCUGUGUCUUCUACUUAAUUGGAAUGUGUAAUAUCCCAAAGAACGCACACCCCUGGCUGUGCCUAGGAAAACCAAAAACUGCCAAGUGUGAAAUGAGGGGAACAGACCCUGCAGGGAGAGGCUCCACGGCAUGAACACACACGUACACACACUGACAUACGUACAGCAUAGAGGAGCAGAAAUGCCCUGCUGUGCACAGCUGUUUCCUAAUAUAGAGAAUUUACAAAAUAUAGAAUUUGGUAUAGAUCUCCAAGGUUUCAAUAAUACAAAAUAAAGAAUACAAAAAGACAAGUUGGGGUUCCCACCUCCCUACCCCAGUGGUAUCCUCAUUUGCUUGUGUGUCUCUUACACGCAUACAACUAGCAUAGUCUAAAGAAGGGCACAGAAAACUUGUUUUGUUUUAUUUAAUAAAUAUUUUCUUUUGCUCAGAGCCACCGCUCCUUGCUUGGUGUCCUCUUGCCUCCCCCUCAUCAACAAUCCUGUUUCCCUUACAGGGCACUGUCUGUGCGUGGAGGUGCGGACAGAGGAUGGCACAGGCCACACCUCUCCAACUCCUGCAUUCCUGCCCACAAAACACCUUCAGGGACAUGGCUUCUCCACAGUGGAAAAGCAGACCCUAGAGAUCCCUGGAUGCCGCCAGGUCAGCUUCGAGCCUGCCUACCUACCUAUCAUGGCCAAGGCCUCUCCUCAGGCCAGCCACCAUGUGCCAUGCUGCGCCACCAACGAAGGCUCCAGUGGCAACCCCGCCAUGCAGCAGCAGCACCUGUCAGAAAACUCAAGGCUCAACUCAAGUCUAGCGGAAUCUUCUGCCAAGGGAAACAUCUUUGGUCAGCUUGGUGCUCGCAGGACACUGGCACCCUGGGUCUUGGCCAAAGGCCAUGCCCACCAGCAAAGGCAGAAGUUGCUUCUGAGUCAAAGUGGAAAUUUUACCAGCACAGUUGUGAGGCUGGAGCACAGGCCCCAUCUGCUCACGGUGCAAAAGAAGCUGUCCCAUUCCUCUGGAGGCCAGGCUGCUGGCACCUCGAGCUGGCAUCUGCUAACUGAGGGGAGGCCCUCCAUUGAGGAAGUAGGUCAUCAUCUCACCCUUGCCCUUGACCUUGACCACACCCCGGCACUCCAGCUGCCCUGACAGCCACAUCACCCUGGGAUCAGAAGAGAAACUCUGAGCUGUGUGUGGCCUGCAGUGAAAAGCUCCUGGUGACCGAGGCCCUUCAUGUGCAUGCUGUGAGUGGUGGCUGUGCUUGGACUCACCUGGAUGCGGUCAGGCUUCUGGAAACUUCACAGACACUUUCACCUAACGAAUCACUUGAACAUCCUAGGGCAGCAGCCCUUGGAGCACUGCAUAUUCAUCCUUCCAGACUGCACUCUGUUCCUGACCUGAUGGAACUGCACAGAUGACGUGCUCUGCAAGGAUUUAAGGAAUACAUUAAGCAAUGGCUUGUUUUCCUGCCUGCCUUCUUCCUUUGCCCAGGUCCCUCCUGCUCCCAAAACCCUUCCCAGAUUCUGGGUCAUCUCUGCCUUGGGGCCACUUGAGGCUCAAGUUCAAAGAGAAGGGCAGAAACCCCAGCUCCCACAUAUCCACACAGUGACCUUAGG